rnacentral:rRNA from 1 species
CCUACGUGAGGCAGCAGUGAGGAAUAUUUGUCAAUGGACGAGAGUCUGAACCAGCCAAGUAGCGUGAAGGAUGACUGCCCUAUGGGUUGUCAACUUCUUUUAUAUGGGAAUAAAAUGUUCCACGUGUGGGAUUUUGUAUGUACCAUAUGAAUAAGGAUCGGCUAACUCCGUGCCAGCAGCCGCGGUAAUACGGAGGAUCCGAGCGUUAUACGGAUUUAUUGGGUUUAAAGGGAGCGUAGGUGGAUUGUUAAGGCAGUUGUGAAAGUUUGCGGCUCAACCGUAAAAUUGCAGUUGAAACUGGCAGUCUUGAGUAAAGUAGAGGUGGGCGGAAGUCGUGGUGUAGAGGUGAAAUGCUUAGAUAUCACGAAGAACUCCGAUUGCGAAGGCAGUUCACUGGACUGCAACUGACACUGAGGCUCGAAAGUGUGGGUAUCAAACAGGAUUAGAUACCCGAGUAGUC